CCUACGGGUGGCAGCAGUGAGGAAUAUUGGUCAAUGGGCGUAAGCCUGAACCAGCCAAGCCGCGUGAGGGAUGACGGUUCUAUGGAUCGUAAACCUCUUUUAUAAGGGAAUAAAGGGUGGGACGUGUCCUAUUUUGUAUGUACCUUAUGAAUAAGGAUCGGCUAACUCCGUGCCAGCAGCCGCGGUAAUACGGAGGAUCCGAGCGUUAUCCGGAUUUAUUGGGUUUAAAGGGUGCGUAGGCGGUCUAGUAAGUCAGCUGUGAAAGUCCGUGGCUCAACCCUAGAAUUGCCUUUGAAACUGGUGGGCUUGAGUAUGGUUGAGGCAGGCGGAAUGCGUGGUGUAGCGGUGAAAUGCGUAGAUAUCAGGCAGAACCCCGAUUGCGAAGGCAGCCUACCAAGCUAUGACUGACGCUGAUGCACGAAAGCGUGGGGAUCAAACAGGAUUAGAUACCCCAGUAGUC
rnacentral:rRNA from 1 species